rnacentral:tRNA from 1 species
AGUGUUGUGGCGCAAUGGCUAGCGCAUCCUACUGUCUCUCGGAGGGUUGCGGGUUCGAAUCCCGUCAGCACUGCUA